UAAAUAACAACGACAACGGGAACGAGACGGCGACGAGGGAGUCAGGAAACGGCGGAAACGAAACCGUGCUGCAGAACACUACAAAUGAAAAUGGCAAUAUAUCUGCACCCCAGGUGGAACAGAUAACACCCGAAAUAUUAAAGAUGAUUAAAGAAACUUGCCGCAAAAGUAGAUCACGCAAGAUUUGUGACAUGCGUUGUUACUAUGAGAAAAUUGGAAUUGUAAGUUUUGUCGUGCCCAGCUGCAAAUGUGCAUGGCCACUUUGUGAUUGAAUUGAAUUCCAUAUAGGUAAUGUGGCUGCUGGGUGUACAGCCAGCUGCUAAAUUGCAU